rnacentral:lncRNA from 1 species
AGUGAACAGCUUUGUGGAGCUCUCUUCCUAACUAUGAACUUUUGAUCAUGGACUUGGUUUGGUACUCUCUUCAUUUAUUCUUAGCUUUUUCUACAACUAUUUGUCGCAUCGUGAUUUUAUUGAACAUGUAUGAUGUAUCAUAUGGUGUUCACAGGGUGCCACAGAAGUCUUCUUUCUUUAUCACCUUGUUAACUUUUCUGUCUGAAGUGGAUAAAUUNNNNNNNNNNNNNNNNNNNNNNNNNNNNNNNNNNNNNNNNNNNNNNUCCGAUAAUGGUGAUUCAUCCCUGGGAUAUAAUUGGUCUUUAUUAUAUGCAUAUGUAUUUCUUUCCUGAAUAAUUAUUCUUUGAUCAUGUUCAAGAUGGUGUUGAUUGCGUAUCCAGAACCUUGGCACUCCUCUAACAUAUAUUGCAAGAGUUUGGAAUGACUUUUUGGCCUUCCCAAGAUGAGGAAUUUGGGACAACUGGAUAUAAACUUGAUUCUGGUGAUUUGUUUGUUUGUGAUAACUUAACUUUAUUGGGGAGGUUUUCUAAAUCUUCAUUACUCUUGUUGUUUUUAUUGUGAUUUUUGAUGAUGAUGAUGAUACUCCUAAAAUGAUACCCUCUUUAUUAUAGUGGCCAAAGGAACCGUGUAUUUGGAAGAAGCCAAAAUCAUGUCAUUUCAUAUGGGUACAUGAUUGCAAAUUGGAUGGAAAUUUAGUCAACUCUUCUCAGACUCUUCUUUACAUUUCAGUUUAUUUUUUAAUACUCAACACAUAAAAGGUCAGUUCCUUUGAGUUUUCUUUGUGGUUGUUAUAGGGGACAGAGCCUAUAAAUGUGGUUGUUAUAGGGGAGAGAGCCUAUAAAUGCGUGGUUCACUGUGAAACCCAUGGCAGGAAAAGGUUCACAUACUUACUGUUCCGCUUGGGAUUUUGGAUUGUAUCAGGAAUGUAAGUAUGAAUGAAGCAAGGAUGAGGAAUUCGUGACAACUUGGUUUGGCACCAGAAUCUGCAAUUGGCUGCUGUUGACGUGCUUUCAUUUGGUUAUCUCUACUCUGAAUAUGCAUUUUUCAUUUUCUUUUUAUAUUUUGAGGAUAUAGUUUCCUUGAUUCCAAGGACCUGUUUUUGCUUUGGUGUUAUAGAGGAGAGAGCUGUGAAUGUACUGUCGGAUUUGAAAGCUUUGAGCCUUUGGAUUCAACGGGUUGCUUUUUGCCUUGAGUGUUUGUUCUGGAAUAGGUGUCCUAGUAUGAUGUGGCAGUGCUGCUGGUAUUUAUUUAUGUUUAGAAUUAUGAAUCUGAGUAUGAGCAGUGCAUCUCUUUCUUGGAUAAUCAAGAUAUAAGUCUGUUUUGCAGUGAGUUGAACAUUUGUAGAUACUUGAUACAUUUUGUAGUUUGUUGAUCAAUUUUUUAUUUCUGGAUUUCUGGAACAGUUUGCAUUUAUCGAUGAUAAUGGAUAAGAAUGAUAAUGGCAACAGAUACAUAGAUCAAGUUUCUUCAAUGAAGUCGUUCUUUAUUAUUUUCAUUAUUUUUAUUUUUGCGCUUUCAUCUUAAAAUGCAAAUUUUAUCGUGAACCUGUUUUUCUGCAGUGUGGUUUGUCAAAAAUGUUCUUUCAUCAUAGCAUGGAGCCUCAAGUUUUGGUUUUGGUUCUUCAAUGGGUCGUUCUAUACAAUUUUUAUUUAUUUUUGGGCUUUGAUUUCAAGACGUAUGAAUUGAAGUUUGAACAUGUUUUUCUAGUUUGUCAAAAUAAUAACCUUCUAAUUUGUUAUAAGUUUUUCCGUUUGUAUUCUUGUCAUUUGCGAUAUAUAUAAAAUAUAAGAAUAAGAAUCUUCUAUCCUACAUGGGUGUAGGUAUGCAGCGAAUAUGCAAUUGGUGAUGUACUUGUUAUUGUGCUUCCAUUCGGUGAUCUCUUUUCUAACUAUGAAUUUUUCAUGUUUCUUUGUUUGUUUUGAGGAUCUAAGUAUACUUGAUUCCUUCGUCAGUUUCUGUGGUGUCACAGCGGUGAGAGACUAUGAAUUACUGUGCGACUUGAAAGUUGUGGUAGAUAUUGUUAAGGAAAUGCUUUGAGCCUUUGGAUAUAGCGGGUCAAUUUUCAUUGAAAUUACUUGUUCUAGGAUAGGUGUAUGCUUUUUAUGUUAAGAAUUACNNNNNNNNNNNNNNNNNNNNNNNNNNNNNNNNNNNNNNNNNNNNNNNNNNNNNNNNNNNNNNNNNNNNNNNNNNNNNNNNNNNNNNNNNNNNNNNNNNNNNNNNNNNNNNNNNNNNNNNNNNNNNNNNNNNNNNNNNNNNNNNNNNNNNNNNNNNNNNNNNNNNNNNNNNNNNNNNNNNNNNNNNNNNNNNNNNNNNNNNNNNNNNNNNNNNNNNNNNNNNNNNNNNNNNNNNNNNNNNNNNNNNNNNNNNNNNNNNNNNNNNNNNNNNNNNNNNNNNNNNNNNNNNNNNNNNNNNNNNNNNNNNNNNNNNNNNNNNNNNNNNNNNNNNNNNNNNNNNNNNNNNNNNNNNNNNNNNNNNNNNNNNNNNNNNNNNNNCUUUAUUACUUUUUAUUUUGGCAUUUGAUUGCAAGACAUACCGACUGAUUCCUUCUGGUUCUGGUUCUAUUUUUCUUUUGUUUGAUAUUCAUGUUUUAUAUUCUUAUUCAUUUCUGGUCUUUUGAUUUUGUCCUGCGCUUUUUACUACUUUUGUAUCCAUGCUUCUCAUUCAUUCUUGGGAUAUAAUUGGUCAUUUUUUUUAAUUAUAUGUAUUUAUCCCAAAAUAAUAGUUCUUUGAUUGUGUACAAGCUCGUGUUGAAGUUUUUGCAUUUCUUCUGGUGUUGAAGUUGUGUGUUUCAGUAUCCGCAACCUGAGUAUUACUCUAUCACAGGGUACAAGAUUCUGGAAGAACUUUUUGCCCUUUCCACGAUGAGAAAUUUUGGACAAUUUGGUUACUUCAUAUGUGUUGUUUGCUUUUAUGAUUUGUUUGUUGGUGACAUAAUAACUUUGUUGGGGAAGGUUUUUCAUAAUUUGCUUUUGUUGCUUUUAUUUUGAUUUGUGAUUUAUGAUGAUGAUGAUUGUACUCCUAAAAUGAUAUCAUCUUCAUUACAGUGCCCCAAGGACAAGGCUUUGUUGCCAAGGUACACAAUUCAAUCACUUUUCACUUCAAUCCUCGUUGAUCACAUAAGCGUUGGAGUGCUAACAUGUUUUGUAGGUACCUUCCCCACCGUGAUUCACCGUAAAUAUAAUGCAACCGUAGCUUCCUUAAGCCUCACCAUUGGAGUUAUCUCAUUCUGAUUCGGUCAGAACACUGUAUUAGGAGGAAGCCAAAGUUGUGUCAUUUCAUAUUGGAUGGAGUUUGUUCCAAUGAAUCGUCUUCUCCAGCAAACUUUAAUUUGGUCAUCUCUUCUUAGACUCUUCACAUUUUCAGUCUUUUGUUUGAUAAUCAGCAUCUACUUUGUCAGUUCCUUUGUCUUUUCUGUGUCGGUGUUACAGGAGAGAUAACCUCUAAAUCUGUGGUUUGCUGUGGAACCCGUGGCAGGCAGGUUCACACAUACGUACCGUGAAACUGAUCAUUUUUUUUACUUACAUGUGUAUACUUAUUUUGAGAUUUGGGAUAUCAUUGGGUUUUUCGUGUAUCUGUAUUAGGAAAGUAAGUAUGAAGCAUUUAAGAUUCUAGGGUACAUAUAUCUUUACCCUCCCAAGGAUGCGUAAUUCUGGACAGCUUGGUUUGGAACUUUUAUGUUCAUCUGUCACUUCCUUUGUUAAAUUUUUUUCUAUAUUCUUGUAUUCUUGUCAUUUCUAUUUUUAUUGUCUAAUCAAUUUACUUCUUUGUUCUACAUUUGGCUUUUUUAUCUGAAUUCCGACAGUGCAGAAGUUUACAUGAGGAAGUUGGUGGGCAUCUCGUUGUAAUGCUGAUAUGAGACUUGGUUUGAAAAAUUAUGCUAGUAUUCUUUCUUCUGUUCUUUUUUACAACCUAUUUUUCCUAGCUUAAGCUUUUCUGUAAAUGUAUCAUGUGCUGUUGGCAGAGAAAGUUUUACAUGGGUUUGGUGUACAACAGAAGUUUCCUUCUUUCUCAAUCACACUGCACCUUUUUAAUUCGCCAUCUGAAGUGGAGAAUAUUAGAGAUGAUGAGUUUCUCUGCCACUUUGUACACCUUUGAACAAAUUAACAACGCCACAUGAACCAUAAUGUUCUGACGGACGUGUUAUCUAAUUGCUAGGCUUUAAUUUGGCCAUUUGGUGAUCUCUACGCUGAUUAUGAAUUCUUUACAUUUCGGAAUAGUCGUUUCAGCAUUUGCUUCUUGAUUACUUUGUCAAAGCUUAGGGUGAGGUUAUCACAUACUCCACCUUUAUCUUUGAGUGACAUGUAUUUCUUCCGGUGUUGAAGUUUGUGUGUUUUUGUAUCUGUAACUUCAGUUUUACUCUGGUUUUGCAUACAAGCUUUUGGAGUAACACUUCCCUUCCCAAGAUGAAUUUUGGACAACCUGUGGUAGGUACUGUUUGUUAUGAUGAUUUGUUUGUUGCGGAUCAAUUGGCUAUAGUUGCCCUAGGACUCCUCUGGUAUUUCUGCUGUUAUUUUUUAUUUGUGAUUUGUAUACUCCUAAAAAGAUAUCCUCAUGGCUAUAGUGGUCCUAGGACUCCUCUGGUAUCAGGUUGAAGCUUAAAUUGUGACAUUUCAAAUUGAUUACAAGAUAUUCCAAAUUGGACGGAAAUUUGUUCCCAUGAACUAUCAUGUUCUGCAGGUUGUGUUCUAUGCUUGAUUUGGUCAUCUCUACAAAUAAAGACUCUUCACAGUUCAGAGACUAGUCAAGAUAAAACCAACCAGUAAUUUGGCCUUUGGAAAGCAAAGGUUAACAUACGAUCAUUCAAUUCAGUCUUGGGAUCAAACCAGUAAAUUUUUCACAUCUGUUCGUUUUGAGAUUGGGGAUGUUUGUGUUUUGAUGGUGUCCUGCUAGUGUUGGUGUUUUUUGCUUUGUUUUUGUAGCCAGCUGCAUGAACAUUGAUGCAAACAAGAUUCAAAGUAUAUCUCUUUGCCCGCACCAAGGAUGAGGAAUUCUGAACUGCUUGGUUUUGGCUCUCUCUUGUUCUGUUAAUUUAUCACUUCCUUUGUUAUGAUUCUUUCACUAUUUUCAUGUCCUUUGUUACAUAUAAGAAUAAGAAUAUGAAUUCUCACCCAGAUGGGUUUUUGUCACAGUGAGGAAGCCUAAAUUAUUGUCAUUUCACAUGAAGCACCAAUCUGCAAUUAGAUGUAUUCGCAUUGUUGUAUGCUAAAUCAGUGGUGAUCUCCACCCUGACUAAGAAUUCUUCGCGAUUCUGUCUCUUGAGGAUCUAGUUUUUCUUAAUUCCUUAGAAGUUUCAUGUAGGUGUCACAAGAAGGAUAUCGACAGCGAGAUGUGCAACAUUGUUACAGAGGAGAUAGCCUAUGAACGUAAUGUUGGGUAAAACUCGUCAUUUUUAUUUCAAUGUACUUUUUCUGGAUCUGGGCAAUUGUGAUGGUGUGAUGUGGCAAUGCUUAUUUCAGUUGUUUAUCAGAAAUUUGAGUAUUUGGACGGCUUAUGAUUUUGUAGUACAUCUGUCUUUUUCAAGAUGCGGAGUUGAAUAUAUAUGAUUAUGGGGUGCAUUUUUAGCUUGGUUAUGAUGUGAGUUUUGUGUCACUUUAAUCACGAUCAUUGAGUUGGAUAAAUCUAAUUUCAUCAUUGAUUUGUGUUGUAUUUUUUUCUCAUGCUGUUUCAUUUGGCUUCCUGCUGAACAGUAAGGUUUAAUAUGGUGACAAGACUCUUUCCUCGCGCCAAGGAUGAGGAAUUCUGCUUGGUUUUUGGCUCUCUUUUAUUUUGUUAAUUUACCACUUGCUUUGUUAUGAUUCUUUUACAAAUAGUGGGAAAGCAUUUGGUGAUUUCUACUCCGAUUAUGAAGGAAUUCAUGUUUCUUUCUGUUAGGAAUGUAAUGUGGAAUAAAACUGGUCAUUUUUAUGUAAAUGUACGUUUUAUGGAUUGGAAUGGUUGUUUCUUAAUGGUGUCAUGUGUUUAUGUUGAUUUUUGUGUCUUGUUUAUCAGAUUGGGAGAGCUAUAAAAUUUGUGAUUCUGUAGUAUAUGUGUUUUUCUAGAUGAGGAGCUGAAUAUAUAUGAUUCUGGUGUACAUCUCUUAGCUUGGUUAUUGUGUGAGUUUUAUGAUACUUCAUUCACGAUCGUUGCCUCUGGAAUCAUGGAUGAAUCUAAUUUCGUCAUUGAAUUGUUUUGUAUUUUUUUUUUUUAGGCUUUGAUCUGGCUUUCUGUGUUGAAACAAUUAAGUCUCUAUAGUGUCAAGCCUCGAGUAUAAGUUAUUGUCCAUUGUUUAUGUAUUGAAUUCUUAUUGUUUUUCCUUCAUGAUUUACAGGAAAGAUAAAUAUAUCAAUGUGCGACUAUGGUGGAGAUUAUAAUCAGUUGGGUGUUUACAUACCCUUAAUACUAUGCUUUCUUACAGAUGCUUGUCCUAGAUUUGUUAUUUGUUUGUAUCAUUCCAGAGAAUCUGUGUAUGUUUGGGGAUGUUUCAAUUUUGUGCAGUGUUCCAAGGACUCGUCUGUAUAAUGGGGCAGCCUAAAUUGUGUCAUUUCAUAUUGAUCACAAGAUCUUGCAAAUCAGAAGGAAAAUUGUUGCAAUGAAACAUUGGGUGUGUUGAAUACUUAUACUUCCCACUGUUAAAAGACUUAAAUAUGGUCAUUUUCUACUCGGCAUCUACUUUUCGCAUUUUCUUUGAGUUAUCUGUGGGGUGUUAGAUUUCUUAUGAAUAUGUGCUGUGUUGUGGAGCCCGUGGCAGUCUGAGGUUAACAUACUAUCCGUUCAAUUCACAGCCUUGGGAUCUGUCAUGUUUCUACUUAUAUGUGUUGUGUCCUGCUAGUCUUGGUGAUUUUAUGUUUCUGCAUCAGGAACAUGAGAACUGAAGCAUUCAAGAUUCUAAAGUAUAUCUUUUCUCUGAAUUAGGAAUUCUGGACUAAAUUUACUUUCGCUGCUUUGGCGCUUUACUUCAUCCAUCUGGUAUAGGUAGGUGGGUAGCCCCUAAAUUUUAUAUUGUUUCACUUGGAGGAACGGAAUCUACAAAUUGGUUGUGAAAUGUUCUCAUUGUUGUUAUGCUUUCAUUUGGCGAUCUCUACUUUGACUAUGAUUCGUUUUGCAGAGAACGGUUCUAGAUAAAUUGAAUUGAACCGUGAACAUGAUUCGUUUUGUUUGUUCGUAAGAUCCGUUGCUCAGACUUGUUUGAUUCGUCAUGUUUGGAUUUCUGGCUUUGCUUUGUUGAUCUGAAGGGCAUUUCUUGAUUUCCUCUUGGAUUCUGGUUUCUUGAUUCUAAAAGUUGAUUUUUCACGUUUCUUGAUUUUCGGAGAACAGUCAUGGAUAGAUAAAUCAAAUUUCUUCAAUGAAUUUUUUUUUACUACUUUUAUUUAUUUUUCGGAUUUGAUUUUAAGACGCCGAAUUGAAUUAAGAACAUGCUUUUCUGCAGUGUGGUUUGUCAUAGCAUGGAGUGGAGCCUAGAAUUAUGAUUUGGUGAUCUCUAUUAAGUAUCAACCUUCUUUACAGCAUGGUUUUGUGUAUAUGAACAAAAUAAUAUGGUUUCUCGUUUUGUAAAUUGUCAAUAACAAACACUAAUAACUAUUUACAUAGAUGCAAUCAUGAAGAAAAAUUAAAUAGUAAUAAGUAAUAUAAAAUCUAAUCUUUAAAGAUAUUCUAAAGGUACUAAAUAUAUUUUUUUGAUAUUUUAACGGUUUGAUCUUCAUGUUAUGUAAUCUUAGGUUUUAUUUGGUUGUUGGUGUUGAUCUUAAAGUUUGUUGUGCUAUUUUUCUUGAUCUGCUACUAUUAUUAAGUUUCUUUUGUCAUUUUUUUGUGAAGCAGAUGCGUGAUUAUCACCUCUCGUCGAAUUGUGAAUUGAAAACAGUGUGAAUUAUUUUGACUGUACAGUGGAUCCUAAAAAAAAAAAGUUUGUAUCGAAUAAAAUAUAUACUUCGGCUUUCUUGUAUUAAAACUUUAGCUUGUAAACACAAAAGUACUGUACGCGCAUGUUUCGAAACAAUGAACUUCAGUUAUGAUGAAGCAAUCAAGUUUAUUUUCGUACACACUUCUUGGAUUGUGAAUUAUUUUCAAGACAUUUAUUCUCCGUGGAGUUUUAUUGUGCAAUCUUCUCGACAAGUCUAUUUUGUUGACAAGUUUAUUGAGGUGUGGUGAAUGUUGGUAUUGAAAAGUUCAGUUGUAGGGUUUCCUUAUGCCAUUAAUACAUUUAAGUUUUUGUCUUGUAAUCAAUCUGACAGUGUGAAAGUUACAAAAUUCUGGAUAAAUUUGGAGUGAACAGCUUUGUGGAGCUCUCUUCCUAACUAUGAACUUUUGAUCAUGGACUUGGUUUGGAACUCUCUUCAUUUAUUCUUAGCUUUUUCUACAACUAUUUGUGGCAACGUGAUUUUAUUGAACAUGUAUGAUGUAUCAUAUGGUGUUCACAGGGUGCCACAGAAGUCUUCUUUCUUUAUCACCUGUCUGAAGUGGAUAAAUUACAGAUGAGUGCCCCAAUCACCUUGUCAUGUUUUGUUGGCUGCGGUAUAUAUUUUCAACUAUUGCUGGGAUUAAUUUGGUGAUGUGAAUUUAGAUUUUAAUAUCUCUGCAUACACAAUUCUUGUUUAUUCAUUAUUCCCUGCUAUCUUGGCUGAGAUUAUCCGAUAAUGGUGAUUCAUCCCUGGGAUAUAAUUGGUCUUUAUUAUAUGCAUAUGUAUUUCUUUCCUGAAUAAUUAUUCUUUGAUCAUGUUCAAGAUGGUGUUGAUUGUGUAUCCAGAACCUUCGCUCCUCUAACAUAUAUUACUAGAGUUUGGAAUGACUUUUUGGCCUUCCCAAGAUGAGGAAUUUGGGACAACUGGAUAUAAACUUGAUUCUGGUGAUUUGUUUGUUUGUGAUAACUUAACUUU